rnacentral:rRNA from 1 species
UACGUAGGGGGCUAGCGUUGUCCGGAAUCAUUGGGCGUAAAGAGCGUGUAGGCGGUCCGGUAAGUCCGCUGUGAAAGUCGGGGGCUCAACCCUCGAAUGCCGGUGGAUACUGUCGGGCUAGAGUGCGGAAGAGGCGAGUGGAAUUCCUGGUGUAGCGGUGAAAUGCGCAGAUAUCAGGAGGAACACCGGUGGCGAAGGCGGGUCUCUGGGCCGUAACUGACGCUGAGGAGCGAAAGCGUGGGGAGCGAACAGG